GAAUUUAAAUAAUUUCUUUCGUGAGGAAUAUUUAUUGGACUCAAUUCCGUGUUGGAUCCGAUAAAUUAAAUAAAUAAUACAAAUAUCCAGUCCGGUGAUAAAUAACUUGUGGGGUGCACAAUUUAAAUAAAAUACAAAGGACCGUGAAUCAAACUAAUCUAUUAAAUCUUCUCCCUGUUGACUUGGUCACCAAGUUGCAUUAAUUCAAAUUUUAAUUAGAGAUUUUGUAAAGAUUAUCCUCCUCCGUGAUCUACAAAUAAAUGUAAAAUAAAUUCAAAAUUUAUCCAAAAAAAGAGAAGUAAGCAGAAUUCAAAAAUUUCUCUCAUUCCCCACGUUGGAAAAACCGUUCCCCUCUCUCCCCAAAUCUCUCUCACAUCCAAACCACCCAUCCCUCUAUUUUAAAUCUCCAAUUCAGUUUAUUUUUCCUAUUCUACACGUUCUCUGCAAGCAAGAAAAACCAAGACCCAUUUUGCUCAAUUUCAAUUCAAGAAAUCGAAACUCUCGCGUUCAAAGAAUCUCCCUUUUCAGCUUUGUAAACUCCACAACCAAAUUCAAUUCACAGAGGCGAAACAUCGCAAGUGAAUCGUGAUACCAAAGGGAAGAGAGUACUUGAGAAUUUAAGCAGUCGAGGUUGAGCGGCGACGAGAAUAUGGCGGUGUUGAGCAAGUAAAUUGGAAAAUGAAUUGUUUAUCUUUGAAUUAUGAGUGUCGUUGUGUCUUCACACAUGACAUCACUCUUUCUCUUGGUCGUUUCCGCUGUGACAUUGCUUUUCCUUAUCAUACAUUGGGCCUGCAACUUGAAUCGUUUGGUUAUUGGAUACUUGGGAUUUUGUUGGAUAAUGUCAAACACCUGGUCAUUUUCUUUGAAUAUUAAUUCUUGGUCCAACUCGUUAUUGAAACCCUAGUUCUCUUUGUCUGUUUAUUAAUCCUUUUAAUCACGAUCGCCCGUAUUUAUUAACCCUAAAGGGCGAUCGUGACAAUAACAAUAUUGAUCAAUCAAGUUAAUCCAAUUACACUAAAAUAACCAACACUACCAGUGGGCAUACUUUUGCUAAGCCCGUAUUUUAGUGAAUUCAUCUACAAUUCAUCUAUAAUUUAUUGUAGAGAAGUCUCUUGUCUUGUCUAUAAUUAUUUUUUCUCUUACUUUUGUUUCUCUCUUACUUUUGUUUCUCUCCACUUUAACUAUUUAUUAUCAUUUUUUUUCAAAACGAGUGCAGAAAAUUUAAGUGCCCUAUUUUUUGUGGACGGAUGGAGUAUUUGUUUUGAUGUCUAUCCAACAAAUGACUGGUAGUGGGAGCAAUGGCAGUCCUUUAACGGAUGGUACCUCGGAUUUUCCCUCGAGUAGAACGGUGAAAUGUGAAAGGUCGAGGCGUUGUUGGUCACCCCACGAGGAGACGAUCCUUAUAACGACACUGAAAGAGUUAGUGACAACCAGAUGCAAGUCGGACAACGGAUUCCGGUCAGGGUAUCUAACAAGUUUCUUGGAGGCCCUUAGGCAUGAAUUUUUGAAAACUGAUAUUCGUGCUCAAUGUCACAUCUACUCGAAAAUUACCACCUGGAAAAUGAAUUACUAUUCGCUAAUGACAAUCUUUGACCGAUGGUUCAAUCCACAUGGUAUAUUGACGAUGAGCAAUGGUCCUAAAGUCGUGCAGGCAGAAAGAUGUCAAUGCAAAGCAUAUGAGGAACGAGUCUUGGCCAAUGUUGGAUGACUAGAAGGAGGUAUUCGGAAAAGAUCAUGUAGAGGGAGCUCGGUGAAUAGACCUUGGGGGGAUUCUGUUACCAAAAUUUAUGGUGCUAAGGCUGUCCCAAAUGAGGACUCUGGAACUUAUGACCACAUGACGUUUGAAGAACUGUUCCUUGAAGUAUUGCCCGAUGGUAUUCUUCCGGAGAUGAUUGGCGAGAGCCCAUCAACACUUGAGCGAGCUACAACUAAGGUGCCACAAAAAGUAAUCAAGAAGAGGAAAGUGGAUGACAAGAUGGAUGGAUUCCUCAAUUUGAUGAGUUGUAUCCAUGAAGAUACAAACGAGUGCCUAAAGGAAAUUUCUUCUAGAAUUGAGUAUGAGUUUGAUCUUAGCACGAAGAGGACCGAGGUGUUCCAACAACUGAAAGGUAUACCCGGGCUGACCAUGAAACAAAAGUUUUAUGUUUCGAAAAAGUUUGUGAAGGAGCCCGAACUCAUGGAUCUCUUCAGGGGAUUGGAUGAGGUUGCUCGACUGGCAUUUGUUAUGGACCUUCUUGAGAACAAUGGGCUGAUAUGAAUGCACUUGUGUCAUACGCUUGUGUCGUAUUUUGUCUUAUAGAUAACAAUAUCGUGUUAGGUAAUGUAAUAUUUUACUGAUACACUAUGGUAUGUCCAUUAUGGUUUGUGUUGGUGGUCCAAGGUAAUAUUUUAUGCAA